AGUAACCGGUGGCGCCAGGCUUUAACACCUCAAGUAGAGGGGAAACGGCAUGUGGUGCUAGCACGGAAAUGGACGUCGACCGGGCGCACGGAUGAGUAACGAGUAUCCAACCUUCCCGUUACUGCGGGAUAACCUACCGAAAGGCAGACUAAUACCGCAUGUUCUUCGAUGACGGGCAUCAGAUUCAAAGCAGAGAUCAGUCGGUAACGGAGGGGGAUGCGUCUGAUUAGCUGGUUGGCGGGGCGACGGCCCACCAAGGAGACGAUCAGUAGGGGUUCUGAGAGGAAGGUCCCCCACAUCGAACUGAGACACGGUCCAAACUCCUACGGGAGGCAGCAGUGAGGAAUAUUGGUCAAUGGGCGGAAGCCUGAACCAGCCAAGUAGCGUGCAGGAUGACGGCCCUACGGGUUGUAAACUGCUUUUAUGCGGGGAUAAAGUGAGGGACGCGUCCCUUUUUGCAGGUACCGCAUGAAUAAGGACCGGCUAAUUCCGUGCCAGCAGCCGCGGUAAUACGGAAGGUCCGGGCGUUAUCCGGAUUUAUUGGGUUUAAAGGGAGCGUAGGCCGGGGAUUAAGUGUGUUGUGAAAUGUAGGCGCCCAACGUCUGACUUGCAGCGCAUACUGGUUCCCUUGAGUACGCGCAACGCCGGCGGAAUUCGUCGUGUAGCGGUGAAAUGCUUAGAUAUGACGAAGAACCCCGAUUGCGAAGGCAGCCGGCGGGAGCGCAACUGACGCUGAAGCUCGAAGGUGCGGGUAUCGAACAGG
rnacentral:rRNA from 1 species